GACGAACGCUGGCGGCGUGCUUAACACAUGCAAGUCGAACGAAGUGGCGAACGGGUGAGUAAUACGUGGGUAACCUGCCCUCCUUUUUGGGAUAAGCCUUGGAAACGGGGUCUAAUACCGCAUAAAGGGGGAUGGGCUCGCGGCCUAUCAGUUUGUUGGUGGGGUGAUGGCCUACCAAGGCGGUGACGGGUAGCCGGCCUGAGGGGGUGAUCGGCCACAUUGGGCGUCGGGUACGGCCCAGAAGCCCACGGGAGGCAGCAGUGGGGGAUAUUGCACAAUGGACGAAAGCCUCAUGCAGCGACGCCGCGUGGUGGAUGAAGUCUUUCGGUUUGUUAACCUCGUACGCUAUCGAUCGGGUAGGUGGAGAAGAAGCGCCGGCUAACUACGUGCCAGCAGCCGCGGUAAUAC
rnacentral:rRNA from 1 species